UGUUUUGGUCCCAGUCAUUACUGCUAUAGCAGCAUUGAGCACCCUGUGCAUGGUUGCAAUUUUAUGUCUUGGUAAAAAUGCAUUGAUCAGGCAAGAUGCCACUGACGGUCACAAGGGUAAAGUAAUCCAGGUUGAGCAUCCAGGCGAGUUGACCUACAUAGCAGGAAAUUGCAGAAGUGAACGGCAGAUUGUUAAAGACACUGAAGUUCAAACCCAGAUCAUAUAUUACCAACAAAACUGAAUGUAAAAAAAGCUUUUCUCUUGAUCCUUUUAUCGCUAAUGUAAUGUUUUCUGAUAAAACUAAACAAGGUGUGUUUCUAAAAAUGCUACUGGCUUGUUAUGGUGUAAAAUAAGUUUUUUGGACGGGGUGAUGUUUCUUAGAGAGGUCUCAAACAAAACUCUUAACCAUUGUAAGUAAGUCAUAA